UGGCCUAAUUCUUGUAAUAAUUGCAGGUUCACACAAGAGUCCACCCCAUGGAAAGACACCACCCUCUCAUGGAACCCCAACGCCACCAUCACACGGAACCUACAACCCAACUCCAUCACCACCUUCAAACUGUGGAAAUCCACCAAAUGAACCUAGCACCCCAUCAACCCCAUCAAUUCCAUCAAACCCUCCUUCCGAUGGUGGUGGUUACAACUCUCCUCCAACUUACGGAGGCGGUAGCCCUCCUUCCGA
rnacentral:lncRNA from 1 species